GCAUAUAUUAGCAUCUUGGACAGAGUAGGAGGCAGUUCACUAUGGGCACGCAAUUCAUCCAAAGUGAAAAUGCUGCCCCCUAUCCCUAAAAGGUUUUAACCCACACUGCCUGCUAAUUAUCUAUAGGCUGUGUUUCAACUGGCCAAUUUCAAAUAAUUUUCAAACAGUUUGAAUUGAGGUGUCUUCCAAUUCCUUAUUAAUUCACAUAAAGUAUCCCAUUUCACUGUGUCGGAGAAUUUACGUUUGAGGCACUACGAUGAACCGGACAAAUUUCUCUCUUUGAUGAGAGCCCAAGCACUUCCCCAGUGUUGCCCUGGUCACGUAUGCAGACAUUUGAGCAUCUCCGAUCAGAAAAGAAAUGCUAACUUUUUCCUCCUGACGCCUGAAUUACCUUCAUUGUUGUUUUCCUUACAAAUAAUAACUUUGGACUUGUGUGCAUUUCUAUCAAAGUAAGUGACUUAUUACAUUAUAGUUUGUGUAUCGUGUUGUCGUUUCUACUGUAGCACACCGUAUAUAUAUGUAUGGAGCAUAAUGUAUUCUGUGUGCAUUCCUUUAUAACCGUGGACAUGCAAGGAACUUAAUUUCUUAACCUUUAUGGUGUUCUACUCAAUUGGGCUUAUGUUACUAGCUACAUUCUUCUAUUAUCUUUGUAAAACAAUGCUGCUGUUGCACUCCACAAGGAGAAGUAUUUGCUUGUGUUGUAUCCUUUGAAGCUGCCCUGGCCUCAUGGCCUGUGUAUUUUAGCUCUGCUGGGCCCUGCCUCCUUGUGGAGCUCAACAGUUACUGUUAUUCAUAUUUGUGAUUUUGUCAAUGCAAUUUAUUACUUUUAUAGCAGGGUUAUGUUACUACUUUAAUUGUUUUAUUGCUAUAUCCUGAUGCUGUAUUGUAAUUUAGUAAUAAUUCCUCUUUAUUCUGUGCCACACACAAACAUAAUUUGCCGCUGACGAUUAAGGCCAGCUUUUGUAUGCUAGCAACAUACAGUUUAAACAGACACUCCUUUGCUUGGGGAAAAAACAGCAAGAAAAGACUGACAACUUAUUAAUAUGCAUAACCCAUAUUUCAAUAUUCAUGUAGUGAUUUGAACUGCAUUCCCACCCAUCCACCCCAAAAGUCAUAGUAUCAUGGAAUGUCAGUUAGUCAUUGCUGCAAAUGUGCUAAAUAGUGCUUGAGUGUACGGUACGACACAGGGGUGUGUCACAAGCUGAACACGUGUACUUUGUCAACAACCUUUGCUUCCUUCUCAUGGUGCCAGACAGUCAGAUUUGCAGUGCCUCCGUGUGCGACUGUCUUGAGCAGCAGUUUGAAAGAAUGCCUUGCGGUGAGGCGUAGGGGAUUGUCUACAGCAGGACAGCCCCCAGUGGAGGUUCUCUCUGUACUUUUGGUGGUCCACCUUCCCUGUGGCCGACAAUGUCGCUGUAUAGACAGCGGAGAGGAUAUGGACGUCUCAAUGGCAAGGGGUUAUGCACUCCAGACUGGGACUCAUAAGCAAACCGCAGUGCCAGGAGUGGUGAAAUGGCUCGCGGCCUUCCAGCUACCACAGACCUCUUGUACUUCAUCUUCGUCGGUCUGCCUCCAUCACCACCAGCAUCUUCAGAGGGGCAUGGGACUUUGUCGGUGGGCAAGGGGUCCUCAGAUUUAGGGUUAUCAAUGGCCACAAGGAUGGGAAGCAGAUCCUCACCAUCAGAAUCUGAUUUUCAGACUCACUGUCAGAAUUUCCACAUUUGUGAGUGGUCUCCUUUUGAAAGAUAUUGCUAAUGCUACAGCUUAGCCCACUAGCUACAUACAUAAACAAGACUGAAUGGCUGAUUAGGUGUCAGACUAAUUACGUGAUUGACUGCUGGCACGUGCCACUUGUAUCAAUAAAUCAUCAGAAAAUGG